CGUAGCCUCGGUCAUCUUUCCUGAUGGCACCGUUCAGUUAUACUUUAUUCCCGCUAAUCGCCAAGCCGCAGGGUGGCCGCGGUGUCCAUUUAAUCCUAACAUUGCACAAUUAAAUAAUCUCAAUUUUAGUACAAAUCCAGACGUUUGGAUUGUAAGGAGCAUAUCUCAUCCAUUUACAACAAGUUGUUGGAAUAGAACGAUACCCAGCGUCUAUGGCGAUCAAUUACAACCCAUACAAAUAAAUUCAAACUUCUGUUCAAUUCACCCCUUAUCACUAUUAUCAAAAGUUCCAUAACGACAAUUGCACGUCUACGACAGAUAUUAAAUACUUUUAUCCAAGAUUAAGAUGCGAUGUAAAGUUGAAGUACUCUGCCGAGGUCCAGACGGAACCUUUCAGGAUCUGUGACGUCAUUAAUACAAACGAGGGAAUCUCAAGGGCAUUGCUGUUGUAAAACUCAGGAUGUUAAGAGUUUAAAGGAAGAAAGGAACACGUGUUACUGUUCAGGAUCCAGCACCAGUUAUAUGUCCAUAGAUUCCUCGAGUAAAUCAAAACAUAGGUUACGGAAAAAGAACAAGAAAAAAACAAAAAAAUCCAAAGCUAAAACCUGCGAGUGUGACGAGAAAACCAAGUCCGAUAAAUCUGUAACGACUUACGCCGAUUGUGCGUGCGGCAGUGCGGCGAGGGACGGAGCGCACACACAGACGAAUAAAAAGACCAAAACUAAACGAAAAGACACGAAAACUGACUCAUGGAUCCCACUCGAUAGUUGCAAGUGCGAUUCAUCACUAAGAAUAUGCGAAUCGGAUUACAGUUACUAUGGAAAAUGCUCCUGUGACAGCACAUCAGACGCCGGCGGUAAAUAAAACAAGGGCUUGUUUUUAUAUAUCUUAUUAUACAUUUAUCCCUUAAUGUUACACGUAUUUACAUUUCGAAAACAAAAAAAAAAAAAAAAACAAAA